CGGAGGAAAAGAAACUAACAAGGAUUCCCCUAGUAACGGCGAGUGAAGCGGGAAGAGCUCAAAUUUGUAAUCUGGCCCUUUCAGGGUCCGAGUUGUAAUCUCGAGAAGUGUUUUCCGCGCCGGACCGCAUACAAGUCUGUUGGAAUACAGCGUCAUAGUGGUGAGAGCCCCGUAAUUGAUGUGGAUGCCCGGUGCUUUGUGAUACACUUUCGAAGAGUCGAGUUGUUUGGGAAUGCAGCUCAAAUUGGGUGGUAAAUUCCAUCUAAAGCUAAAUAUUGGCGAGAGACCGAUAGCGAACAAGUACCGUGAGGGAAAGAUGAAAAGCACUUUGGAAAGAGAGUUAACAGUACGUGAAAUUGUUGGAAGGGAAACGCUUGAAGUCAGACUUGCUAUUCGGAAUUCAGCCGCAAGGUGUACUUUUCGAUUUGCAGGCCAGCAUCAGUUUUUGGGGGUGGAAAAGGGUGGAGAGAAGGUAGCAACCUUGGUUGUGUUAUAGCUCUUUACUGGAUUCAUCUUUGGGGACUGAGGAUCGCAGUGCGCAAUUUACUUUGCAAACCUUUCGAGGUUUUCGUACUUAGGAUGCUGGUGGAAUGGCUUUAAACGACCCGUC
rnacentral:rRNA from 1 species